rnacentral:rRNA from 1 species
UACAGAGGUCCCAAGCGUUGUUCGGAUUCACUGGGCGUAAAGGGUGCGUAGGUGGCCAGGUAAGUUUGGUGUGAAAGCUCGGAGCUUAACUCCGAAAAGUCAUUGAAUACUAUCUGGCUGGAGGGUCGGAGGGGAGACUGGAAUUCUCGGUGUAGCAGUGAAAUGCGUAGAUAUCGAGAGGAACACCAGUGGCGAAGGCGAGUCUCUGGACGACUCCUGACACUGAGGCACGAAAGCGUGGGGAGCAAACAGG